rnacentral:rRNA from 1 species
AGCUUUAUAGCUAGCCCGCUCAAACAACUUCAACAAACCCCUGUUAAUAACCCCUAAUACACUAGUAUCUUAUUAAACAAACCAUUUUUCCCCCUUAGUAUAGGUGAUAGAAACGGGACUCCCGGCGCAAUAGAGAAAGUACCGCAAGGGAAUGCUGAAAGAGAAAUGAAAGAACUCAGUGAAGCCUAAAGAAGCAGAGAUUAAAACUCGUACCUUUUGCAUCAUGAUUUAGCAAGUGUAAUCCAAGCAAAGAGUGCUUUAGUUUGAUAUCCCGAAACUAGGUGAGCUACUCCAAGACAGCCUAUUAAUAGGGCACACCCGUCUCUGUGGCAAAAGAGUGGGGGGAGCUUUGAGUAGAGGUGAUAGACCUACCGAACCUAGUUAUAGCUGGUUGUCCAAGAAAUGAAUAGAAGUUCAGCCUCCCGGCUUCUCUUUUCACCUUAGUUUAACCCCUAUCGAUGUACUUAAGAAACCAGGAGAGUUAGUCAAAGGGGGUACAGCCCCUUUGAACCAAGACACAACUUUAUCAGGAGGAUAAAGAUCAUAAUACCUAAAGGAAGAUAUUUGGGUGGGCCUAAAAGCAGCCAUCCCCUUAGAAAGCGUUAAAGCUCAAAUAUAACACUAAACCCUUCUUAUUCUGAUCACCAAAUCUUAUUCCCCUAGACAUAAUGGACCGCCCCAUGCACGCAUGGGGGUGACUAUGCUAAUAUGAGUAAUAAGAGAGCCUCCGGCUCUCUCCCUGCACACAUGUAUGUCGGAACGGACAUCCCGCCGACCAUUAACGGCCCCAAACAAAGAGGGCACUGAAUAAUAGAUUAAACAACAAGAAAAGCAUUCAGGAACAACCGUUAACCCAACACAGGUGUGCCCACAGGGAAAGGCUAAAAGAAAGAGAAGGAACUCGGCAAACACAUUAAAGCCUCGCCUGUUUACCAAAAACAUCGCCUCUUGCAAACUUAAUAAAUAAGAGGUCCCGCCUGCCCUGUGACUAUUAGUUUAACGGCCGCGGUAUUUUGACCGUGCGAAGGUAGCGCAAUCACUUGUCUUUUAAAUGAAGACCUGUAUGAAUGGCAUAACGAGGGCUUAACUGUCUCCUCUCUCCAGUCAAUGAAGUUGAUCUUCCCGUGCAGAAGCGGGAAUACAAACAUAAGACGAGAAGACCCUAUGGAGCUUUAGACACCAAGGUAGAUCAUGUUAAUAACCCUGAACAAAGGACUAAACCAGAUGGAACCUACCCUAAUGUCUUUGGUUGGGGCGACCGCGGGGAAUUAAAAAACCCCCACGUGGAAUGGGAGCACCCCUCCUACAACUAAGAGCCACAGCUCUAGUAAACAGAAAUUCUGACCAGUAAGAUCCGGCAAUGCCGAUCAACGGACCGAGUUACCCUAGGGAUAACAGCGCAAUCCUCUUUUAGAGCCCAUAUCGACAAGGGGGUUUACGACCUCGAUGUUGGAUCAGGACAUCCUAAUGGUGCAGCCGCUAUUAAGGGUUCGUUUGUUCAACGAUUAAAGUCCUACGUGAUCUGAGUUCAGACCGGAGUAAUCCAGGUCAGUUUCUAUCUAUGCUAUGCUCUUUUCUAGUACGAAAGGACCGAAAAGAAGAGGCCUAUGCUCAAGGCACGCCUCCCCCCUACCUACUGAAGUCAACUAAAGUGGGCAAAGGGGCAUGCCCCCCUGCCUAAGAAAAAGGCUUGU